GACGAACGCUGGCGGCAUGCCUAAUACAUGCAAGUCGAGCGGAGUUGAUAGAAAGCUUGCUUUCUUGAUACUUAGCGGCGGACGGGUGAGUAACACGUAGGCAACCUGCCCUCAAGCUUGGGACAACUACCGGAAACGGUAGCUAAUACCGAACACUUGUUUUCUUCGCCUGAAGGAAACAGGAAAGACGGCGCAAUCUGUCACUCGGGGAUGGGUCCACGUCGCAUUAGCUAGUUGGUGAGGUAACGGCUCACCAAGGCGACGAUGCGUAGCCGACCUGAGAGGGUGAUCGGCCACACUGGGACUGAGACACGGCCCAGACUCCUACGGGAGGCAGCAGUAGGGAAUCUUCCGCAAUGGGCGAAAGCCUGACGGAGCAAUGCCGCGUGAGUGAUGAAGGUUUUCGGAUCGUAAAGCUCUGUUGCCAGGGAAGAACGCUUGGGAGAGUAACUGCUCCCAAGGUGACGGUACCUGAGAAGAAAGCCCCGGCUAACUACGUGCCAGCCGCCGCGGUAA
rnacentral:rRNA from 1 species